ensembl:lncRNA INTS6-AS1 INTS6 antisense RNA 1
CAGCCUCGUCCCAAAUGCCGUGGGAGGGAAGGCACUCUCUGUCAAGCUGCUGUCACCUUACCUGAAGUAAGGAGUCCACGCCUGCAUGUCCGAGGAAAACAGUUUUCUCAAACACAUUAGUUGAAAAACUGAAGACGCUGCCUAAAAUACAAGCUGAGUUAGAGACAGCCCUUGUAAGACUAGGAAAGGCCUUGUGAGGACAUAACCAGGAAGAGAGUCCUCACCAGAACCUGACCAUACCUGCACCCUGAUCUCAAGCUUCCAGCUUCCAGAACCAUGAGAAAUCAAUGUUUGUUGUUUUAGCCACCCAGUCUACAGAAAUUUGUUAUAGCCACCCUAGCUGACUACCACAUUGGACAUCACAGCAAACACUACAACCAGUAAGUCUCUGCUUGUAUUAACUGGAACAUUUCCAAAGCCUGUCCUACUCAGGAUAAAUGCACAAAAGAAAAAUUAGUAGUUGACG